UGCGUAGGCGGGUCUUUAAGUCAGGGGUGAAAUCCUGGAGCUCAACUCCAGAACUGCCUUUGAUACUGAAGAUCUUGAGUCCGGGAGAGGUGAGUGGAACUGCGAGUGUAGAGGUGAAAUUCGUAGAUAUUCGCAAGAACACCAGUGGCGAAGGCGGCUCACUGGCCCGAUACUGACGCUGAGGCACGAAAGCUGGGGAGCAAACA
rnacentral:rRNA from 1 species